UGAGGAAUAUUGGUCAAUGGACGAGAGUCUGAACCAGCCAAGUAGCGUGCAGGAUGACGGCCCUAUGGGUUGUAAACUGCUUUUGUAUGGGGAUAAAGUCAAUCACGUGUGAUUGUUUGCAGGUACCAUACGAAUAAGGACCGGCUAAUUCCGUGCCAGCAGCCGCGGUAAUACGGAAGGUCCGGGCGUUAUCCGGAUUUAUUGGGUUUAAAGGGAGCGUAGGCCGGAGAUUAAGUGUGUUGUGAAAUGUAGACGCUCAACGUCUGACUUGCAACGCAUACUGGUUUCCUUGAGUACGCACAACGUUGGCGGAAUUCGUCGUGUAGCGGUGAAAUGCUUAGAUAUGACGAAGAACUCCGAUUGCGAAGGCAGCUGACGGGAGCGCAACUGACGCUUAAGCUCGAAGGUGCGGGUAUCGAACAGGAUUAGAUACCCUGGUAGUCCGCACAGUAAACGAUGGAUGCCCGCUGUUGGUACCUGGUAUCAGCGGCUAAGCGAAAGCAUUAAGCAUCCCACCUGGGGAGUACGCCGGCAACGGUG
rnacentral:rRNA from 1 species